rnacentral:rRNA from 1 species
UGGGGAAUUUUGGACAAUGGGGGAAACCCUGAUCCAGCCAUCCCGCGUGUGCGAUGAAGGCCUUCGGGUUGUAAAGCACUUUUGGCAGGAAAGAAACGUCGCGGGUUAAUACCCCGCGAAACUGACGGUACCUGCAGAAUAAGCACCGGCUAACUACGUGCCAGCAGCCGCGGUAAUACGUAGGGUGCAAGCGUUAAUCGGAAUUACUGGGCGUAAAGCGUGCGCAGGCGGUUCGGAAAGAAAGAUGUGAAAUCCCAGAGCUUAACUUUGGAACUGCAUUUUUAACUACCGGGCUAGAGUGUGUCAGAGGGAGGUGGAAUUCCGCGUGUAGCAGUGAAAUGCGUAGAUAUGCGGAGGAACACCGAUGGCGAAGGCAGCCUCCUGGGAUAACACUGACGCUCAUGCACGAAAGCGUGGGGAGCAAACAGGAUUAGAUACCCUGGUAGUCCACGCCCUAAACGAUGUCAACUAGCUGUUGGGGCCUUCGGGCCUUGGUAGCGCAGCUAACGCGUGAAGUUGACCGCCUGGGGAGUNCGGUCGCAAGAUUAAAACUUAAAGGAAUUGACGGGGGUGC